UAUUUACUUAAUAAAUGUUCCUUUCUUUUUUUCAUCUUUUAUUAUUACUCAUAUGUUCAUUUUAAGCAAAUUGCUGUUGGUGAGCCUUCUCUUAACUACAAUCAACUGAAUCCAAAAAGAACCGUUUAGAUACACGCUGUGAUCCAAGACAUUUUUGGCGAUGAGGAUGGGAUUCGGGAAAACGUAUAAGAGAAGGGAAAGCAACCUGAUGCUCUGGAGACGUCUGUAUUCCAGGGUGGGAAACGGCAGACUCUGGAUUCAGAACAUUGAAUUGGUGAUCAAGCCAGUACCCAAGGCAUCGGGACCAUACAUGGAAAGAUAAGUAAAACCUCAGAGAUCAUUUGAUAAGACCAUGUGGGAGUCAAGAAUGCGUGACAUAGUCUUGGGACACCAAUGUAAGUGUGCAAAAAUGGAUACUACCUCGGAAGUAACAAACAUGAGACCGUAAAAAAAAUGCACUGAAUAAUAGGUCUCAGAUAUGUACACCUACUUGACAGAAGGAUUGGUGUGGCCUGGAAGAGCACAAAGACAUAGUUUCUCUAUGGAUUUUGGGUCAGUUUCUCAAUGUUCAAACUCAUUUUAAAACAAUAAAAGUAGUAUUAGUGAAAGGGAUGUAUAAAGAAUUACAAUCAAAAUAAAAUGUGUGAUUGGUUAUUAUGUCAAAAUGUUACAGAAAUAAGGAAUAUGGACUCUGGGAGGAGUAAUUGUGGACUGAGUGAAAGGGCCCAUCAGAUGACAUACAGAUACCCCAUAUUGAGCAUAUGUAUGAUGCAUGUACUCCAGUGUUUAAACUAGUAGGCGAAAUUGCAAUGUGUUAGGACAGUUAGUGUACGUGAAAGAAGUCUGAGCUAAGACUCAGGUCGUAUGGGAGUCUGUGGUUAGGGAACCCCGGGAAAAAUAAAAGGCGGGAAACAUAAGCUGAAGGUAAAGCCUGAUGAACGUUACAGUUGUAUUGUUUGAUACCACGUGUAUUGUAGCUCAAAGGGGGUUCCUGCAUGUGGAGGUAGUUACCACUCAAUGAUACAUCAUUCAUAAAAUUAGCAAGGAAGCAAACAUAUUGGAGAAGUAUCAUCAAGACAGAUACAAAUGAAGAGAGCUGGAGAAAUUUUGAGUCUAUGUAUAGUGCUAUUUCACUAUUGUUGAGUGAGGUGAUCUGUGGAUAGGGAACUGGAAAAUUAAAAAAAACAGAAAUUAAGGAACCUGAAUCUGGAAUAUACUGAAUUUUACAGCAAAUUAUGUAAAUAGAUUAACUGAAAAAAAAUGUAGACAAUAUUCUGGUCAUCUCAGUCAGGUGGCACAGCUUGCUGGUUCCAUCAUGGCCUUUGAUAAUACACCAUAUUGUUCUAUUGUUCGUAUUGAUGAUAGUUAUUUUCAUUGUAGUUUUAAUCUUCUAGUGUAGGUUACAUACUCUUAUACAUUCUCGCGUGGCUGUUGUUGAUGUGCGUCUGCACUUGCAAUUGUAACAUGCGCUGUCAAAUAUCAUCAGGAUGAGGAUUGUAUAGGACGGGCUGAAGGGCUAAACUUGUUGCUGAUAUUCAACAGCUGCAUGACCUUGAAUGAGUCCUGCGAACAUUCCUGUGCGUGCUGAAGACGGCACAAUCAACAUUUUUUUCUGUGCCUGGCUGUUUGUUACAGUAUAUAAGAGAGGGAGUUUUCUUCCAAGCUGCUGGAUUUCACCUUGGAUCGGGAUAGCAACAGUGUCAGAAACAACCUCAGCCUCCAGACCAGGUGUUGAUCGAGGGGUCCCCGUUGGGCAGAAGGGAAAGAUUCACAAGAAUACCAAAUCGCGAAACGGAACAAUUCUUCUCAAAGGGUAAAAAAAAAUGUUUGCCUCGAGAUGUGGUAUUUCUCGUGAUUGUGUCCUGGUGUGAGGUGAAAAGCUUUGACUGCCUGUUUUUCUGUAACACUAGGGAGAAUUCAACAAUUUUGUUGGCCAAUUAAAAGAUGCACAAUCAAAGUUACUUGCUGGAUCAUGAAGGAUUUCCAUGCCAGUGUAAUAUAACCAGCUGACAAACAAUCAGUUGAUGAUCAAUCCAGCUCUUGAACAAUGCAUUAAAUUGAUGUUACAUUGGUAAUGUUUGAAUACACAUGCAGGGAUCAUAAUCCUUGGUUAAUCUAACUGGCAUUAAGACUGUUAAAACAAGAGAUUAAUUGAGCCAAAUAAAGUGGAAUGUCUUAACGUCAGGUUAAGCACAUUGCUAAGGUCUUUAUUUAAGAUGAAGAGAUAGUGGGUACUAAUUGUCAGAGCACAAAGAAAUAGAGAGAUGUCAGUAUGCAUUUGCAAUGAGCGAUUGAAACUGAGGAAGGCAAGAAACUGUGUCCACAAAUAAAAAUAUUACUGUCUUGAUUUCAAUCCA